UCUAGCUGGUUGAAUGACAUUCAACUCUAUCAAAUCUCUAUUGAAUCCUCCAUAGAACACUCCAGAUGUUCUUCACCUUUAUGUAACACACACUUUUCCAGCUGUUCAUUAUUGGUCUUCAUGACUUCAUUUUGACAACUACACAUAAAGUAAAGAGCACUUCGGGGGGAUGCUUAAUGUAAAACUACAGCAGUCAUAUACUUGAUGCGUUAUGGGAUAUUUAGAUAGCAUUUGUUUAUCUGGUACAUCACUGUGGGUGGGAUUCAUCUCACCUAACUUCAGACACCUAUACUGUCAGCUAGUCAUCCCAUGGUCUUCUGGAGACUGAUAAGCAUAUUUAGGACAUCAAUCAAUUGACAAAAUUCUACUUUAGGAGGAGAUGAACCAUGCCCCAAAAAUUCCUAUCCUAUGCACUCACUGAUUAUAAAGCCUAAGGUGAUUAACACAGAUGCAGAUGUCGGAUUUGUAAACAUCUACAUUUCAUAUUUGUGUCUUGUGGAGUUAUAAGAAAUUCUUAAGCUCCUGUGCAGAUAUUUUGGGAUUAGUGUGUCUGGAGUGCGAAAUGAUGCUGACAUAAGGAAGAAAAAGAGCGGCACAAUCUGAGCAGUGGUGGUACUCAAAAAAUUUGGGGGGCAUGUAUUUUGCUAAAGUAAUUUCAGAUAUGUUCUAAAGCUGGCAUUUGUCCUUAGGGAAGUGAAGAACAUCUGUUACAUUUACAUGUGGCAGUGCAACUACACCACUGUUUGACUGGGACAAGACAUUUCUGAGUGAGGAGAGGAGUAAGGAGGAGGAGUUACAGGAACCUACCUCUUCCUGCUGUGCAGGCCAAAACCCUCAAGGCUAAGCGUCUUGAGAGAGCUGGCAUCAAAGUCCUACAUCACUUGGCCAGCUGAGAACAUCAACCAAAGCUCAGCAGCAAGACUGACAACUGCAGCACAGAUCCUCUGAGAAGGCUGUUGUUAAUAUAGUUGCUUCAGAGGACUUAUGACUUCACUGGCUGUACAAAGACGAGGACAAAGACAAGUCAAGAGGAAGGAAAACAUUUACAACAUAAUGAGA